rnacentral:rRNA from 1 species
GUCUACGGCCAUACCACCCUGAAUGCACCCGAUCUUGUCUGAUCUCGGAAGCUAAGCAGGGUUGGGCCUGGUUAGUACUUGGAUGGGAGGAAGCCCAUUCAGGCGUACGGA